rnacentral:rRNA from 1 species
CGGCGAGCGAAGCGGGAAGAGCUCAAAUUUGUAAUCUGGUACCUUCGGUGCCCGAGUUGUAAUCUCGAGAAGUGUUUUCCGUGCCAGACCGCAUACAAGUCUGUUGGAAUACAGCGUCAUAGUGGUGAGAACCCCGUAGAUGAUGCGGAUGCCUGGUGCUCUGUGAUACACUUUCGAAGAGUCGAGUUGUUUGGGAAUGCAGCUCAAAUUGGGUGGUAAAUUCCAUCUAAAGCUAAAUAUUGGCGAGAGACCGAUAGCGAACAAGUACCGUGAGGGAAAGAUGAAAAGCACUUUGGAAAGAGAGUUAACAGUACGUGAAAUUGUUGGAAGGGAAACGCUUGAAGUCAGACUUGCUAUUUGGAGUUCAGCCGCAAGGUGUAUUCUUCAAUUUGCAGGCCAGCAUCAGUUUUCGAGGGUAGAAAAGGGUCUUUGGAAUGUGGCAGCCCCGGCUGUGUUAUAGCCUUUGACUGGAUCUAUCCUUGGGGACUGAGGAACGCAGCGUACUUUUUGCAAGUCCUUCGGGUCUUUUUACGCUUAGGAUGCUGGUGGAAUGGCUUUAAACGACCCGUCUUGAA